UUCUGUUGCUAGGUCAAAUACAUCUCCCCCCGACCCUUCUGUUGCUAGGUCAAAUACAUGUCCUCCUGACCCUUCUGUUGGACAUACUGUUGCUAGGUCAAAUACAUGUCCCCCUGACCCUUCUGUUGGAUUUACUGUUGCUAGGUCAAAUACAUGUCCCCCGGACCCUUCUGUUGGACAUACUGUUGCUAGGUCAAAUACAUGUCCCUCUGACCCUUCUGUUGCUAGGUCAAAUACAUGUCCUCUGACCCUUCUGUUGCUAGGUCAAAUACAUGUCCCCCUGACCCUUCUGUUGCUAGGUCAAAUACAUGUACCCCUGACCCUUCUGUUGCUAGGUCAAAUACAUGUCCCCCUGACAAUUCUGAAGCUAGGUCAAAUACAUGUCCCCCUGACCCUUCUGUUGCUAGGUCAAAUACAUGUCCCCCGGACCCUUCUGUUUGACGUCCUGUUGCUAGGUCAAAUACAUGUCCCUCUGACCCUUCUGUUGCUAGGUCAAAUACAUGUCCCCCGGCCCCUUCUGUUGCUAGGUCAAAUACAUGUCCCCCUGACAAUUCUGAAGCUAGGUCAAAUACAUGUCCCCCUGACCCUUCUGUAGCUAGGUCAAAUACAUGUCCCCCGGACCCUUCUGUUUGACAUCCUGUUGCUAGGUCAAAUACAUGUCCCUCUGACCCUUCUGUUGCUAGGUCAAAUACAUGUCCCCUGGCCCCUUCUGUUGCUAGGUCAAAUACAUGUCCCCCUGACCCUUCUGUUGCUAGGUCAAAUACAUGUCCCCCUGACCCUUCUGUUGCUAGGUCAAAUACAUGUCCCCCG
rnacentral:lncRNA from 1 species